GGACAUGAUAGUAAUUUUACCAUAUGUAUAGAUUUUAUAGCAUUAUGUACAACACAAUACAAGCCAUUAUAUUAGGAAAUAGCACAUAAUUUUAAGACGCCAUGGUGGCAAUUUAGGGAUUUCGCCCCUGCUUUUAACUCAUUGUCGUUCUUGAACAUCAAACGCCAUGGUUCAAUGCGACCUUUCGGUACUCGUCAGUUCCCAUCUCCUCUAUAACCUAAUGUUCGAUUCUUAAAGCUUCCAUCAAUGGCGAUGAAUCUCAUCUCCCCUGUGGCUUGUUUUUCGUUUCUUACCUUAAUCAACCAGAUCUUGUGAGAUGGAUAGAUUGUUCAAAAAUCUAGGGUUCAAUGUCAGAACUGCAAGGUGAAAACGAAGAUUGCAGUUGAUUUGAGAUCCUCCCACGAAGAUUCAGAAAUAGAUUUGAUUACAAGACCCUAAAAUCGUUCAAGGAGGGUCACAUUCAAAGGCAUUUUUGGAGUCUAUAUGGAGACUCUUAUGAAUGCUAUGUCAACGCAGAGUAUUUAAAGCAUCAAGACGAACAAGUUAAGCUCCAUAAAAAUGAAGGUAUUUUUUUCUUUACAUGACUAUAUGUUUGAUAAUAAGUGCUCAAAUUUACACAAUUAUGGUAUUUUUUUUAUUUAUAUUAUGGUAGUAACUGUUUUUUUUUUCAUUUGCUUUGAGGACAUCAUUCAUUUGUUUAUUAUUCAUGUUGAUGGAUUAUUAGAACCCACCCUUCUUGAUUACUUUGUUAAAAGAGAAAAUAUUUUUUAGUAUUCUUGAGUGAAAUUGGGGGUUUUGUGAAUUUCUAACCCAACAUUUAAAGAUUUUCAAAACCCAACCUAACCUGAUGUAUGACAAUUAGUGGGAAUUCAUAAUCAUGAAAUCUUAGUCAAUACUAAGUGUUUGAGCAGAUGAACAUCUGGCUCACAACGAAUGGUUAUGGUACUUAUGUAGGACAGAGGAUGCCUGUUGACAUGUUAUAUAGUCUAUAUCUACUCACAACCACCGACCAAGAGCCUACACCACUGGCUUGGCUUGGUAAUCUAAUCACUAGACACUGGCCUCAUCCUUAGGAUGCUUCCUAGGAUUCUAUCACUAACUUGUAGGCCAUAAACGAACCGAAUGUUCAGUGAACAGUUCAUCGGAAGGUUCGUUUAUAUUAUAAACAAACAAACAAACAUAAACAACCCCUAAGAUAUCUGCUAGACGGACUCGAAAAGCUUACAAGUUACAACCACGCCACCUCCUAAGGUUUUUUUGGCUUCGUUUCGAAUCGGUUUCAAUAUUUUCAGUUUUUUUUUUGUUUCGUGUCGGUUUUUUGUUUUCGUUUGGUCAGUUUAUUCAGUUGAGUUUUAUUACUAAUACCUGAAAGACAACAAAAGCAUCCAGCAGCUUAAAUCUUCAAUGCAAGAACAGUAUUGAAGUUCAUGAUUCGGAUUCGGAACAUCAACUGCAGUAGCUUUAUUCAUUUUGAACUGGGAUCAUUUAUCGCAACGGUUUUUAAGCCGACACGAGUUUCUGCACGGGAGGAGUUUCAAUCCGCAGUCAACUUCACCACCCAAUAGGAGGGGAAUCCUUUGCUCAAACAUAUAAGAAAUGUGAGAUGGGCUUUUUCAGAUAUUGUCUGUGGCUACAUGUUGGGGAAAAAUUCAUGCGCUCUUUAUCUUAGCCUUAGGUAUCAUCUGCAUCACCCAGAUUACUUAUAUUACCAAAUAAGGGAAUUGGGAAAGAACUUCAACCUUCUUGUUGUUUUAUGCCAUGUUGAUGUUGAAGAUGUGAAACCAUUGUUGGAAGUCACAAGAACAGCUCUACUUCAUGACUGCGCACUUUUGUGUGGUUGGAGGUAUGAUGUAAAUGUAUAAAUCUAAAUUAUAUACAGCAUCUGCUUCUUGUUUUUAUGAUCAUAUAUAUUUGUUAGAUUGUGUUUUAAGGCAUAAUUUGUACAAUUACAGUUAAUUGCAGUAUUACAAACAUAUUUUUUUUAUUAAUCGUAA